rnacentral:rRNA from 1 species
AGGACGAACGCUGGCGGCGUGCUUAACACAUGCAAGUCGUGGGCACCAGCAAUGGUGACCGGCGAACGGGUGCGUAACACGUAAGCGACCUACCGAUUUGAGGGGGAUAGCCGGCCCAACGGCCGGGUAAUACCGCAUACGCCAGGCGAGCUUCAUGGCUUGCUUGGGAAACCUCAGGGGCAAAUCGAGGGGCUUGCGGCCUAUCAGCUAGUUGGCGGGGUAAUGGCCCACCAAGGCUACGACGGGUAGC